UUUGAUUCUUUUUAUCAGGUAUUUUGUCCUUUUAAAGAGAAUUUAUUGAGUACUCAAUAAGUAUGGCUCGAAGGAUUAACCCAGGAAUUACUCUGAAAACUGACAGAUAUGCAUUGGCCGAACUGGAUGUUAAUUACUAUGACCCGAGGUGGGACUACACAAGAGAAGAAAUAGAGCGGUACUUCAUAUCUCCCAGAAGAGAACUGGCCUCCCGAUUUGCUUGGGAGAUGGGAGAAUACGAUGAAGAGAAAUCUGACGAGGAUCAACCUUCCACCAGUUAUGCCCAUAGUCCUGUUCCUCCAGUUGAACCUGAACCUGAACCCGAACCUAAAACUGAACCUGUAGGACGUCCUCAGACCCUGUAUACAUGGUACCUGAGUCUUAGGUACAUCGGGGUAGAGGAAACAUUCACCGACAGAUUUGAAGAAGACUUCAUAGACUCCGCUGCCAUCAAUAGCUUGAAGAUAAUUAUCAGCACUAGGCAACAGAUAUGUUGAGUCGAGACCUCAUUAAAGCUUUCUAUGAUGCCGCCAGUGUGCCCCAAAAGCGGAAAAAGCCAAAUAUCUUCCGUCGUGUUCUCCGACGAAUUGGACGAUGCUUUGGACGAUGUUUUGGAUGUUGCUGUAGACCACAAACUGAUUAGUGUCGAUUUUCAAGACUCUGACUUUUUAAAAUAGAUGGGUGAUUUUAGAGUAAAUUAUUUUUACACAGA